rnacentral:rRNA from 1 species
UGCCAGCCGCCGCGGUAAUACGGAGGAUGCAAGCGUUAUCCGGAUUUAUUGGGUUUAAAGGGUGCGUAGGCGGAAUAGUUAGUCAGUGGUGAAAGCCUGCGGCUUAACCGUAGAAUUGCCAUUGAUACUGCUGUUCUUGAGUGCAGUUGAGGUAAGCGGAAUGUGUAAUGUAGCGGUGAAAUGCUUAGAUAUUACACAGAACACCGAUUGCGUAGGCAGCUUACUAAACUGUUACUGACGCUGAGGCACGAAAGCGUGGGGAGCGAACAGGAUUAGAUACCCUGGUAGUCCACGCUGUAAACGAUGAUCACUCGCUGUUGGCAAUACAUCGUCAGCGGCUGAGCGAAAGCAUUAAGUGAUCCACCUGGGGAGUACGGUCGCAAGAUUGAAACUCAAAGGAAUUGACGGGGGCCCGCACAAGCGGAGGAACAUGUGGUUUAAUUCGAUGAUACGCGAGGAACCUUACCUGGGCUUAAAUGCACGAACGACGUACUGGGAAACUGGUAUUUCUUUCGGGGCGGACUGCAAGGUGCUGCAUGGUUGUCGAUCCAGCUCGUGCCCGUGAGGGUGGUCGGGCUAAGUUCCAUAACGAGCGCAACCCU